AAAAAAUACUGAGUUAUUUUCUUCUCUGUGCCCAUUCUAGUUAUUCAUGUCCAUUUGUUUGCUCCUUACUGUGGCCUCUGUCCUUCCUGCAACAGCCAUGCAAAAAAAGAUUGGGGAAUGGAGAGGUUUUGAGCAAAAUAGUUUCAUGUUGCUUCAUUACACUUGAAUGAGAAUGAAAUGAGGGGAGGACAAGAGGGAUCACCAAGUCCUUUUUGAGGUGAAAAAUAUGGUAUGAACUUCUCAGAAUGUGAAAGCUGUGCUUGGAAACCACUUCCAAGAGUUAUCUCUAAUGUCUUUUACCAUUCAGGACUGAAAAUAGUAUGUGUAAUCUUACUGAGUGCAGAUCCAAUAUGUCCAUAAAAAGAAAUAAUCUGAAUUUAUUUUAAAAUUCAUAGUAGUAUUUACUGUGUACAAAGUGGGUUGAGUUCCAUAAUAUGUAAACACCAUAUAAAGUAUGCUGGUAUUGCUGUAAAUAUCUCACAACAGCACGAAUAAUUUUGAUUUCCAAACAGUAACUGGCUUGUAUUUGAGUCCAUCAGUUGUUUAGUAACAGCAAAAAGCCCAGCAAGCUGGUUAAUUGGUUUCAAAUUUACUAAGAACUAAUAUUAUCCUGUGAGAAAAAAAAGAACUCAAAAGGAGGGUAUGCUGUUAAACUAGGUGUUAUGACUGAAAAAGGGGAGCAGACUAUUGAGAACUGUCCUAUCAUUAUAUCUGUCAAUAUACUAGUAUCUAGUGCUGUGUAAAACAUGAGAUGUCUGUUACAACCCAAAAUCUUAGUAACAAGUCUGCCUUUGGAUGUGUUCCUCUAAAAUAAGAAAUCUGCUGUAUAAAGUAAGAAAUCUGUAGUGUAAAACUGAGACAUUCUGCUCCUUGCUUCUUUUUCACCAUACUGCCAGUGUUCUGGCAGGGGGAAAGGGACAAAUGGUGUUUGGAAAAAAAAAAUACAGGAGUUGAGAGAUGGAAAAGUGGGAAAGCUGAAAUGGUUCAUGCUCUUGGGGACUGGGACUGAGGGACUGCCUUCAUCCCCAUGAACGUCGUUUUGCUUCCAGCUGGUAUUCAUGUGUGGGGCAGUCAGAAUUGCCUGGCAGCUGUUUAUAUUUUUAAGGGGUUUGUCUAGGUGUGCUGGCAAUAAUGCCAUUCUGCACUAGGCUCAUUUGGUUUUAUAAUAAUUGUCUGUUUAUCCAAAGCAGGGCUUUAUUUUAAAGAAUAAGAAAUAGAUGCUCAAUGCUUCUAAAAGACUUAUUUCAUAAUCAUGUAGAAAUUAGUAAUCUAAAGACUCAGAUGUCUCUAUCUGGUCCUGGUUUGUUUUUCUAUCACCCCUGUCCCCCCUGUUUCUAAAAUACUUAUUGCAAGAUAAAAUGCUGUAAAACAAAAUUAUUCAAGCAUAUAUGUAUUAAUAGCUUAUUGCUUUUUAAAAUGAUACUUAUGGUCAUUAUUCCCAAAUAUUGUAUGUAGGAGUGCUGACGAACCAAAGUAUUACUUCACGCUGACUCUAAAUACUGUGACAUUUCACUAACCAAGGGAGGGAAAACUCAAGUUCACUUUGUACAAGUAAUUGUAACAUCAUCAAGAUGUGAAAACAGUGCUACUGAUUAUCUAGUAAGGUAAAGCAGCUUGUACCACAGCCUUUCACUGCUAACUCAUACUGAUUUUAUUUGCUUUUUUUCUUCUUCUCAGAAUGUUGUUUCUAUAUUUCUCUUGCAGUGUGAAAAGAGUAUCUCUGCAAGCCUGUAGUAAUCAAACUGGCUUCAUCCUGGAUGAGACUGCAUUCCUUGGGAGUAGGAGGUGUGACAACCCUUGUUAGAUCAAAUGGAGAUUAAGCAACAUGGGAAAGAUUUUACGUAAAAAUUAAAGAAGGUUCUAAAUAACAUUAUUUAUUUUUACAUAGGCUCUGUUGGUGCAUCUCAGUUGGUUCAUGACAAUAUGAUAAUAACUGCAUUCAUUUAGAACAUUGAACAAUAAAUGUUGUUAUAUUGUGCUAUCAGAUUAAUUUUUUUGCCAUAAAUAGCUAUAUUUAACAGGAAUAUUACUGAGUUAUCAGGUGUUUUCAAAGCCCCUGUUGAGAGGACCAAAAAGGUCUUAAGUGUAACUCUUCUGUCUUCGUAGAAGGAAGCAGCAGCAGGUGUUGGCAGAGGUUACCCCAUGGGAAGAAGUAGGUUGAAGAUAAAUACAGCAAAGUGUUUUGUUAUUUGUGUCUGUGUCCAUUUAUGGCAUAUUUCAUCAAUGGGCUGUUACAGAGGGCUGAGAAAGUUGGAACAGAGGCAUUAUAGUUUGGGCUGCCUUGAGAAAGAGAGGAGAAAGAAGCUGAGAACUGCCAUUACUACAGCCACAAACACUUCAAGCACCAACCAUACAUAACCCACAUAGGACACUGCUGAUGCCAUUAACAUCUUCAUUUAAUUAUGUCUUAAGUGUCAUCUGUAUCUCUUGUGUGCCCCAUAAAGUAGUUUACAUUGCACUACUUAAUUAACUUUCUUUAGUGUAUAUUUAUAACACCUUUGUGAAUUAAAAGGUUUCUACCUUAGAGGUAUUGCUCUCAAGUAGGAAGGUCAUGUUUUCAGUAUAGGGUUUGUCUGACUUUUCUGUUCCACAGUUUUCUCAGUCUACUUGUAGGUUAGCUAGUUCCUUGGUUUAGAGAAAAAAAUCAUAAUUUCUCUUCUAAGUGUCAAUGAGAAAUACCUAUAUUAAUAUAUUGUAUGAAAAUAAACUGAAAUAGAGGGAACGGCCUUGGCUAAGUUGCUUCAUUAGGCCUUAAUAUGAUUUUAGGCUGUUUUCACAACCUAAAAGUGUAUUAUUCUGUGACAUUGGUAAUCAUUAGUUACAAUAUUAAAAGAUGUGACAUUUCCACAUUUUUGAGGGUAUUCCACCAGCAAUAAAAGACCUGUCAGACAGUUGGAAGCUGGCCCAAUUUCUACAACUACUGCUCUUAAAAGAUUGUCUUUCUGGAAUAGAUGCUGGAGACUAUUAAACAUUGUUCGUACUUCAACACCAAUAUGGUGGACAAAUACAAAGAUCAAAACUUUGGAUUAAAACUUUCAAAUAAAUCUAAUUUUUAUGCUGUAGUAACUUGGAGUAACAAGGAUGUUAUCUACAUUUACAUUAUACAGGCUUAAUAACACUGACAGCACUUCACACCCACAUUUUGUCAGCUAACAGCAUGUCUUACUUGGUCCAGUACAUGGGCGAGCAGGAACCAGCAGAACCUGGUCUGAUCUAGAAUCCUCAGCUGGCAUUUCCAGUGGCAUGAACACAUUUGAAUUCUUCUGAGGUGGUAUCUCACCAAAGAAUCAGAUGCACUGUUUUGGUUAUUAAAGCCUGACUGUCCAUACCAAGUUGAGGGACUGCAUGAAAAUACCUGUAAUUUAGUUAUUUAUCCAGUAAUUUGGGUAGCUAUCCUCAAGCAUGCCAUUCCUGUCCAGGGAGAUCAAAUCACUACAGUGACAGAGCCUAAAGAGUGAAUUAGCUGACCAGUCUUAGGUGUCUGUCACAGGAGAGCCAAAUUGCUCCUUUAGGGUUCUCUGAAUGUAGCAAUUAAAUCUCUGCUGAGUAGAAGGACAAGUCAGCAAUGUUUAGGUAUCUCUGCCUGGAGCUGAAUCAUACCUAGUUGUGCUCAAUGAUAGAUAAAGGAAGAAUUUUUUUGCUCAAAGUUUUAAAGUAUACAUUUUAAAUGAAAUCAGUGUUUUUUCUCGUCAUCCAUUCUUUCUUGUUAGCUGACUUUUACUAAGCAGUCUGAGAUAAAUGUUGAGGUGGGAAAUAAAAGGGUUCUGCUAGAACUUUUAAAGAAAACAAGUAACAAAGGAGCAAGGGAAAAGUAAAAGCAACAACAUUCCAAACAAAACUCAGACUUCAGACACUUGGCCAAGAAGGUCACAGUCACACCCAAGGACCAGUUGAAGUGUCCAGGUGGCACUGGCUGCCCAUGUUCUUGAAAGUGAAGAGAGAACCAGCCUCAAUAUUGAAUAUGAAAAGAAGAAAAAUUACGAAGCUGAUGGACUCAACUGAUAUAUCUGUUCUGAGCACCCUGUUUUUAUAACUUGCUGUGCUAAAAUGUGUGUCAAAGCAUAGAGAAGGAAGGCUUUUCCUCCAAUACUUGGGAUUUGUUUUCAGUGAUAAUUUUGGUGCUUUUGAUCCCCCUGCUGGGCCCUAUGAGUGUCUCUAUUGCUUUUUUAGAAGAACAGCAUCCUCAGAGUCCUCCAUUUUGAUUCUGUGUCCUCCAGUACCCUGUAAAAGUGAGUGGUUGAUAAUUCAACCCCAUAAAUCUAUUCCUUCUUUGCUUAAGUACAGGUCAGCUUUUGUUUUUCAGUAGGAAGAGUUAAGGUUUUUUUUCUUCCAUGUUCUGCACAGAGCAUAGACUCUUAGGCUUUAAUGUGAAAUUAACUCUCAAAUUCCUUGCCAGAUGCAGUUCUUAAUGUUCAAAGAAGCUUUGGCCAAGAGUCCAAACUGUUCAUGCCUGUUUUAUCCAAAUACAGUUAAAACCUUUGAAUGUUUUCUUUCAUCAUCUUACUCUUGAUCAGUGACACAAGAAGUUGUGAAAAUUUCCAGGUGUUCUGUGCUUAGAUUUUGAGGCAACAAGGGAUUUUGACAGGUUACUUAAGCAUUUAAUGCUUGGAGUGAGCAUCAAAACCAAACCUUUGAGAGUCUGUCUUCCUGCCUAAACAUCUGGGAUGUGUGAUUUCCAUUGUCCUUUAGAGUACAGCGAAGAGCAAGGGAAAACAGAUAUUUAGCAUUUGGGCUAUGCAAAAAUGAUUUGUUUUAUGUGGAUUGCAGUGUAAGAUUUUGAGAAGAAUGGCAUGUAGUUUUCUGAUGCAAGAUCCUCUGCUGCCUUAAAUUUUCAUAGCUUCAUUGAUGUUGAUGGAAGUGGGGCAACACGGACCUACUGAGAGUUUGUCUGUAUUUGGUUUGUAAAUUUGCCAGAGCUGUAAGGGAGUGAUUGUGCAAAAUAUGGUUCUGUUGUAUGUGGCCUUAUUCACAUUUUUACUGAAGUUUGUAUUGAAGUUUGUACAUGUUGGGAUCCAGCUGCCCUGGUGACAGGACUGAAUGUUUGCUCAGAGGGUGUCACUGUCCUUAUGGAGGUUAUGGUUGCUGGUGGGAUAGUAGGAAACAUCACUUGGGAGAGACUGCUGUGUGUCCAGGUUUGGCCCAUGCUGGAGUGUGCUUUUUGAUCAAAUCCUGGAUAUAACUGAAGCCUCUCUUAAGUUGAGCAGUAUGUGUAGAUGUUUCAUGCAUGAAAGCAUGGGCUGAAGGGGACUCACUGGUGGACUAAAUUAAAUCAUGUUGAACAAAGCAGAAAGACAUAGAAACUCUAUCUUAUCUAUCUAUCUAUCUAUCUAUCAUCUAUCUAUUUAUCAUCUAUCUAUUUUCCCUAUGUCUAGCUAUAUAUCUAUCUCAAUACUGUUGUUUGAAAGGGAUAAAGAGGGAGAUGACACCAGACUACAUGCAGAUUGCACAAAGCACUUGAAGCUUUGAGUUAUAAGCCCUGUGUGGGAUUACCAUCAGUCUGAGACUCAAUAGGUGGGGGCAUUAGUCCUGUACCUCUGUUUUGGCAAAGGACAGGUUUAUCUAAGAUGGUUUCAAAUGCCUUCCUGAAAACGUUAUAGAUACUUCUCCUGUCUUUUGAAUAAAUGUACAUACUUAAUUACUCUUCAGUAAAUUAUGACGUUUGUAAUGAUAACUGUGGCUUCUGUCACUCCAAAAUCUGUGUUACAAGUUACUUUGCUAGUUGUAAGGGCUCAUUUUAUGAUUCUUAGGACCGGCCUUCAAGCUCUAGAAGAGAGGCAAACCCACAUCUGACACCCAGUUCUAGGCUUUGCCUUUAGGUCAUGUUAUCCCACUUUCAACAAAUAAAGGAAGCGCUUUAAUAGUUGACCUUUCCUUUUUUCAAGGUCAGUCUGAUCUUCCUUGCAGAUAGAAGGGCUGUGAAGUGUUUUGAGGGACAUUCUGUUCUCACCUCCCCAGACUGAGUGUGACAGCUUUUCUCUUGAGGAACUCAUCCUUCAAGAAUAUUGACUGCAUUGAAGCUCAGGGCACUCUGAAGCACAUGAUUGCAGUUUUCCACAGGUUCAAUUUUACAUCAACUGACAUAGUGGUGCAAGAUCCUUUCUUUUCUCUCAAGGGAUUUGACUUCUAGAAGGGCAAUAAUCCCAUUCAAUAUACUUGAUUUUGGUAUAUCUCGGGGGCUUGCCAAACAUUUUGUCAAAUUGUCUUGGGAGCUUUUCUCCUGGAUCAAAAUUAGGAUAGGAGUCUUUCUGGUGGUUAUCACCUUAACAAAAAGACUGAGACAUUUCUGUCUCUAUUCCCUUGUCCUCUGCCCCUCUAUCACUGGGAGUGGAUUCUCUCUCUGUCUUUCUCGAGUCCCUUCCUGAUGUUGUGCACGACUCCUGGGGUUUUUUGGAGUCACAAAAUUCAUCUGUCUCUGCUUUUCCCCAAGCUUCUCCCUGUGGAACCAGGGGCUUCCACAUGUUUGUCACACAUGCUGUGUGUGGGAGGCAUUCCUGCUUGCCCAGGAUCCAGCCUUUCAGGUGGCCUUCUGUAGAUGUGAAAUAGCUAAAAAGCCAAAAAGUUCAGCAGUGCCCUUUCAGCAGUUACUCAGUGAGAUAACAGCUUUUUCCAAGACUCUGCAGAGCCAGCUAACCUGGAAUUACCUCUGGGAUUGUUCUUCACAGGAGGUCAGGGCAUAUCAAUGACUUUAUUAAAAAGCUCUUGUCAUUCCUGAUAAGUACAAAGCAGUCCUUUCUCAUAAUCCUAGCCAUUUGUAAUGGAAACAAGUUCUAGUUGCUCUGGAAGUGUGUUGGUAUACUGAGGAGCGUUCCACUUGAACAAGUUUCUUUAGUCACUGUUUUGCUAAAAGAUUUUGAGAGUCUGAGAGUUUGAAUGUGUCACGCUUGAAGUCACCUGUACCAACAGUGUGCACAGAAACAAGAAGGCAAGGGACAGUAAACAAUGGAAAUGAGUUUAAAUUGAUUGAGUGCAUGUUCAAGGCUUACUGAUAGUCCUGAUAUCACCUUGCUAAGAGAGGAUCAAGGGCAAAAAUAACAUACUGCUUUUGCUGCAUGUGUACAGCAAAAGGAAGAGCCUGAUACAUACCUUCACAUGUUACAGAUAUUGUAAAGGCAAGUUUCCUCCACAAGGAUCUGCAGUAUCUGUAUCUGCUGUAUGGCCAGGACUCCAGCAUGAUGCAAAGCUAAUCUGCAAGAAAAAUUAGUUUCAUGCCGUUCCCUUGGGUCCUGUCUGUGGUCACCAGAGAGAAGAGAUCCCUGCCAGCUCCUCCACUUCCUCCCAUGAGGGAGUUGCAGAGCACUGUGAGGUCUCCCCUCAGACUCCUCUCCUCUAGGCUGAAUAGG